AUGAACGCUGGCGGCGUGCCUAAUACAUGCAAGUCGAGCGAACAGACGAGGAGCUUGCUCCUCUGACGUUAGCGGCGGACGGGUGAGUAACACGUGGAUAACCUACCUAUAAGACUGGGAUAACUUCGGGAAACCGGAGCUAAUACCGGAUAAUAUAUUGAACCGCAUGGUUCAAUAGUGAAAGACGGUUUUGCUGUCACUUAUAGAUGGAUCCGCGCCGCAUUAGCUAGUUGGUAAGGUAACGGCUUACCAAGGCAACGAUGCGUAGCCGACCUGAGAGGGUGAUCGGCCACACUGGAACUGAGACACGGUCCAGACUCCUACGGGAGGCAGCAGUAGGGAAUCUUCCGCAAUGGGCGAAAGCCUGACGGAGCAACGCCGCGUGAGUGAUGAAGGUCUUCGGAUCGUAAAACUCUGUUAUUAGGGAAGAACAAAUGUGUAAGUAACUAUGCACGUCUUGACGGUACAUAAUCAGAAAGCCACGGCUAACUACGUG
rnacentral:rRNA from 1 species